rnacentral:piRNA from 1 species
UCCAGGUGAAGCGUAUGAAGCUUAUCCAUG